rnacentral:rRNA from 1 species
AGAUUGAACGCUGGCGGCAUGCCUUACACAUGCAAGUCGAACGGUAGAGUAGCAAUACUCGAGAGUGGCGAACGGGUGAGUAAUAUAUCGGAACGUGCCCAGUCGUGGGGGAUAACGUAGAGAAAUUUACGCUAAUACCGCAUACGAUCUAAGGAUGAAAGCGGGGGAUUCGCAAGAACCUCGCGCGAUUGGAGCGGCUGAUAUCAGAUUAGGUUGUUGGUGAGGUAAAAGCUCACCAAGCCGACGAUCUGUAGCUGGUUUGAGAGAACGACCAGCCACACUGGGACUGAGACACGGCCCAGACUCCUACGGGAGCAGCAG